rnacentral:rRNA from 1 species
ACGAACGCUGGCGGCGUGCUUAACACAUGCAAGUCGAACGGAAAGGCCCUGCUUUUGUGGGGUGCUCGAGUGGCGAACGGGUGAGUAACACGUGAGUAACCUGCCCUUGACUUUGGGUUACCUUAGGGAAAUGGGGCUAAUACCCGAUAGGGGCUCCCGCCUCAUGGGGGGGGUUGGGAAGUUUCGGCGGUUGGGGAUGGACUCGCGGCUUAUCAGCUUGUUGGUGGGGUAGUGGCUUACCAAGGCUUUGACGGGUAGCCGGCCUGAGAGGGUGACCGGCCACAUUGGGACUGAGAUACGGCCCAGACUCCUACGGGAGGCAGCAGUGGGGAAUAUUGCACAAUGGGCGGAAGCCUGAUGCAGCAACGCCGCGUGCGGGAUGACGGCCUUCGGGUUGUAAACCGCUUUCGCCUGUGACGAAGCGUGAGUGACGGUAAUGGGUAAAGAAGCACCGGCUAACUACGUG